GGGGGAUCCUACGGGAGGCAGCAGUAGGGAAUCUUCCGCAAUGGACGAAAGUCUGACGGAGCAACGCCGCGUGAGUGAAAAAGGUUUUCGGAUCGUAAAACUCUGUUGUUAAAGAAAAACAAGGAUGAAAGUAACUGCCCG
rnacentral:rRNA from 1 species